rnacentral:rRNA from 1 species
GUUGAACGCUAGCUACAGGCUUAACACAUGCAAGUCGAGCGACCGGCGCACGGGAGUGUAAUACGUAUCCAACCUGCCCUUUACUCGGGGAUAGCCUUUCGAAAGAAAGAUUAAUACCUGAUAUAAAGGAUGGGGAUGCGUUCAAUUAGGUUGUUGGUGAGGUAAUGGCUCACCAAGCCUUCGAUGGAUAGGGGUUCGGAGGGGAAGGUCCACCAGAUUGGAACUCAGGCACGGUCCAAAAUGGUACGGAGGUCAGCGGUAAGGAGUAUUGGUCAAUGAGCGUUAGCCUGAACCUGCCAAGUAGCGGGAAGAAGGAAGGCGUAUGAGUCGUAAUCUUCUGAUAAAUAAGAAUAUGUAUUAUAUGAAUAAGCAUCGGCUAACUCCGUGCCAGCAGCCGCGGUAAUAC